GACCGCGUAGCUCAGUUGGCAGAGCAUUGGGCUGGUAUUCCAAAGGUCGUAGGUUCGAAUCCCACCGUGGCCA